GGACCCCCACCCACUUCAUGGCACGCUCCAUCAACACCAUGACCAAGCCAGUCGUCAAGCAAAGGUAGGGUUUUCAUACUCGUCAAAUCUCAACAUGUACUAUAUGUUUUGUUUCUUCAUCAUCCAGUCCUGCUACUUGCAAUUGUACUGAUAUAUAUGAAUGUGUUGGUUAAAGCAAUUUGUAUGUAUGUGUAUGGUUAGACCGUGAGACUAGAACUGGAGCAUCCCUCCCUUUUGGAUCUUGAGUUUCUGUUAUGAAUGAAUAUGCAGUAGCAACACCAUCUAAGAAAAAACAUAUAUCCACUGCAAAUGACUAGUGUCAAGAUCGAAGCCUGACGAAACUGAAUAUUUUCAACACUUCUACUGUUCAUGAACUAGAUUUACAAAUCAAUGGUGAACACUAAUCUAGUGAACGAAAUAAUGGAAGAAAAACAUGUCCCCUUUUCUUCAGAUGACAUACUGAAGUAAAACCCAACUGAAGCUGAACUGUUCAUGUCGAAGGAUUAAACACAGCACGCGCAUUUUUCUGCUCCGUUUAAUAUACUUGUGCAUCGUGUGCUUAUACUACCAUUUGCUUGGUUCUAAACACAGGUGAAGUGUCCAGCUAUGUUUCAUGAUGAUUAUGCAGUAAUGCUCCUCUUCUUCCUCGACCACCUGAACCACCACGCCGGCGGGCUCCUGAAGCAUCAACUUCAGUAACGGUGACCAUCCAUUCCUCCAUUCCUUGCUUGCAGCUAGCGUUUUAGUUCUCCUAGAGCUAGCUAGUUUAGUCUGCUACGGUUUGGGGGUGCUUUGGGUUUCAAUUCACUUCAGCAGAAGCACCAUUUUUUGCCUUUUUCAGUUAGAUGCCUUUGGAUUGUUUGGCAUCAGAACCUGUUCAUGGAGAUUUGUUUUUGGUAGAUGCAGAGUAUAGAUUAAGUAUUCCAUAAAAUUCACCACAUGAGUAUACUACUUAAUAUCCAAUAGUUUACUUAAUUCCUUUGCACUACAUUGUUGUUUGAUCGCUCUUUUUAUGGUUUGGAUGUAUAUACGAGAUGGUGGGCUGUUGGAUGUGGAUUGUGAGUCCACGGCAAGACUGAGCAUUCUUUUAUCAACUUGUUGUACACUUGCUCUGCUUGAGGCUACUGUAUCACAUUCACAGUUUCUGAAUCCUACUACCCAUUUCUGUACAAUAUCAAUAGUGUGUUUCGUUUGCAUUUAUCCUUAGCAGUUUGUGUCAAAUGUAGGUGCUUUGCCUCUCCACGGGCUCGUUCACCAUUCGUUCAACUUCAGAGCUCAUCAGGUCUGUUCUUGCCCUGACCAAGAUGUUCAAGUAUGUUAGGUUUGCAAUAAUAUUUAGUAUUGGUUUGGCUCUUGCAAUGCAUAGACAUAGCAAGAUAUACUCCUGUGUGCUACUAAAUGUCACGGAGAAGAAACAAAGAUGGCAAGUAAAAAGAAACUGUUUAUAACUUGAACACUAGAUGAAUUUACAGCAAAACUAAUUUGUAAAACAAAACCUGGAUUAGAUCGACAAAUCCUUAGCAUAUCAAACGUGCCACUUUGGAAAUAUCAGCCUGUAGCACAUAAUAUGUUAUCUUAUUGCUGCUGUGUUACUGUAUCCUAGUAACUCUGUUGUGUCACUGUAUCCCAGUAAAGCAAGAUGCUUGCUAUACUCAUGUUCCUGAUGAUAUUGGUGUACACUCAAUUUGGUUAUUUCUUCUAGUUCUGGUACUAGUUGUUGUGUACUCCUAGUGUUGUAGUUGUUGUGUAGUAAUACAGAAAUAUUAAUGCUCAAAUAUGAUGAUCUGGCCUACAGCACACCUACAACUUUCAUUUCUAUGAUCAAUUUAGAGAGUUGCACAUGUGAGUAUAUUGUAUACUAAAAAAAUCCUAGCUAGUGAGAACAUUUUAGUCGCUACAUGAACGCAUACUGGUUAGUGUUAGUCAUACUAUUUAUGUACAUCUCAUUUGCUGUCAAUUCUUGCUUAUAAGUUAUUGUAUCCCCCGUUGGCUACUGUUUGAUGUUCUGUGCACAUUCUUAUUCUUAUAUGUUCAUUCUUGUUUUUUGCACAGGUGAAGUGCGAAUCCAAGUUCGAAGUUGUGAAGCAUAUCAACAAAGACUAGCAUAUUAUGUGCUAUAAAUGUAGGCAGUAGUAGGCUUAUCUGGGCUGUAGUAUACUAUAAUGUUUGUAAUAGACUAAUGCCGUGUUAUUUUGGACAAAUUUCAUUUGGUAUUUGGAUUGUUUGAAAUAAUGAUUGUGUAUGUGAUUUGAAUACCCGUCAAAUGGAAACCUGACAAGGGGGUCCAAGUUAUAAUGGUUGUUUGACAUAUUUUGAAAUUCUUGAUGUGUGGGAUCAAUUUUGUGAUAAGCAUGACAAGUGGGACCAAUCUGAUUGGUGGGACCAGUGGCAAAAAAGGACG
rnacentral:lncRNA from 1 species